AAAAUCUCAGCCCUGAAUGAAUGUCACAUUCCUCCUUUUGCAUCCCUGGGGAACAGGGCAAAUAAGCUCAUCUGAAACCUCAGCUGCCCAGCCUGUGAAAUAAGGCCGGCCAUCCAUUCUCACAGAGGAGCCAACUGGAGCCAGAAGAACCUUAAGGGAAAGGGCAGAGGGAGAUUCUCCCUCUUCCCCCGACAGUUUUUGCGUAGUCGCCAGGAGCCACACUGGCUGGCAAGUUGCCUUCUCUGGCUGGAAGACCUGCCUUCUCCCUGGACUACUGCAGAUGGUGAGAUACGGGAACGCCUGACAAAAGCCGGCAAAAG